rnacentral:lncRNA from 1 species
AGUAUUAGACAUUAUCACAUGUCUUCAGUAUUGGAUAUUUAUCUCAUCAGAUUAAAAAAUGACACAAAAUGUCUAUUUUUAAUAAAAAUUUUGAUUUUCACAUCAGUUGAAAAUAUAUUAUUGACUAAAUACAUUUAAAAUAAUUUUAUUUGUAAAACUUAAUACUAUGUAUAUAUGAAUACACAGUUCAUAGAAAAGCAAAUUUAAAUGACAAAAUGAAGAAUAGAUGCUGAACCUCAUAAAAACUUAAGGAAA